ensembl:misc_RNA Metazoa_SRP Metazoan signal recognition particle RNA
GCCAGGUGAGGUGGAGGUGGCAGUGCCUGUAGUCCCAGCUCCUCAGGAGGCUGAGCUGGGAGGGUCUCUUGAGUCCAGGAGUUCUGGGCUGUAGUGCACUAUGCUGAUUGGGUGAAUGCACUAAGUUGGGCAUCGAUAUGGGGACCUUCUGGGGGAGCGGGACCACUGGGUUGCCUAAGGAGGGGUGAACUGGCCGGGGCUGGAAACAGAACAGGUCAAAACACCCCUGCUGAUCAGUAUUGGGAUCACACCUGUGAAUAGCUAAAGCAUGCCAGCCUGGGCAACACAGUGAGACCCCCUCUAU